GGGCAAUGCGUGAGGCUGGUUUCACAGAGCAGCGACAACCUCCCGCUCCUGGCAGUGGAAGGAUAAC
rnacentral:SRP_RNA from 13 species